CAAUUGCCGGGUCUGCGUGGGUAGCUAAUAGUGCUGUGUCGUCGGCAAAUGUUGCUAUUGUUACCUCAUUUGAUAUAGGUAAGUCGGCAGUGUAGAUGGAGAACAGUAGGGGUCCGAGGACGCUACCUUGGGGUAUGCCGGAUUCUAUUGGGAAUGUUGCGGAAGAGGCGCCUAGGCAUUUAACUAUGAAUUGUCUGUUGGUUAGGUAGGAUUUUAAGAUGGAGUAGUAUGGAUGGGGUAGGAUCUUUUUGAUCUUGUAGAGUAGCCCUUCAUGCCAUACUUUGUCGAAUGCCUGUUGGAUGUUUAAGAAUACCGCUGAACAGUAUUUUUUCUUUUCAAGGGUUUGGCUGAUCAUGUGGGUUAUGCGGUGGAUUUGCUCUACUGUUGAGUGUUGUUUUCGGAAGCCGAAUUGGUGGUCUGGGGGUGUUUUCAAUUCUUUUAGGAGUGGGAGGAGACGAUUCGCGAGCAUCCUCUCGAAUAGUUUAGACAGGUUCGUUACUCGAAGAAUGUAAACGAAUACGCAGAGGGGUACAAGAGCAUCAUUUAUAUAGGGUCCGUAGCAACAGAAGCCGACCAAUCGCUGACGAGCAGCGUUCUCAUUGGUUCGGAAAUACAAUAAUUUUAUAAGCUGUUAUUUUAUAUUAUUUUUAUAAAUGAAUGAUCUUUCAACUUGAUAAUGUA
rnacentral:misc_RNA from 1 species